AGGACGAACGCUGGCGGCGUGCCUAAUACAUGCAAGUCGAACGGUCUUUCUAUGGAAGCUUGCUUCCACUGAGAAGAUAGUGGCGAACGGGUGAGUAACACGUGGGUAACCUGCCCAUAAGAGGGGGAUAACAUCCGGAAACGGGUGCUAAUACCGCAUAGUUUUCUUGAUCGCAUGAUCGGGAAAGGAAAGACGGCCUUUGUGCUGUCGCUUAUGGAUGGACCCGCGGCGUAUUAGUUAGUUGGUGAGGUAACGGCUCACCAAGACGAUGAUACGUAGCCGACCUGAGAGGGUGAUUGGCCACAUUGGGACUGAGACACGGCCCAAACUCCUACGGGAGGCAGCAGUAGGGAAUCUUCCGCAAUGGACGAAAGUCUGACGGAGCAACGCCGCGUGAGUGAAGAAAGGUUUUCGGAUCGUAAAGCUCUGUUGUCAGAGAAGAACAAGUUGGAGAGUAACUGCUCCAGCCUUGACGGUAUCUGACCAGAAAGCCACGGCUAACUACGUGCCAGCCGCGGC
rnacentral:rRNA from 1 species